UACGUAGGGUGCGAGCGUUAAUCGGAAUUACUGGGCGUAAAGCGUGCGCAGGCGGUUCGUUGUGUCGGUGGUGAAAUCCCCGGGCUUAACCUGGGAAUGGCCAUGGAAACUGGCGAACUGGAGUGUGGCAGAGGGGGGUGGAAUUCCGCGUGUAGCAGUGAAAUGCGUAGAUUUCUGGAGGAACAUCGGUGGCGAAGGCGGCAUCCUGGACCGGUAUUGACGCUGAGGCGCGAAAGCCAGGGGAGCAAACGGG
rnacentral:rRNA from 1 species